GUCCACACUGUAAACGAUGAUGACUAACCGUCGGCGACAGAAUGUCGGUGGCCAAGAGAAAUCGAUAAGUCAUCCACCUGGGGAGUACGGCCGCAAGGCUGAAACUCAAAGGAAUUGACGGGGGCCCGCACAAGCGGAGGAACAUGUGGUUUAAUUCGAUGAUACGCGAGGAACCUUACCCGGGCUCGAACGGCAGGCGGAUAUGGGAGAGAUUCCAUAGUCUACGGACGCCUGUCGAGGUGCUGCAUGGUUGUCGU
rnacentral:rRNA from 1 species